UCAGUCCUACGGGGGGCAGCAGUGAGGAAUAUUGGUCAAUGGCCGGAAGGCUGAACCAGCCAAGCCGCGUGAAGGACGAAGGUGCCAAGCAUUGUAAACUUCUUUUGUCAAGGGACAAAAUCAGGCUCGAGAGCCUGACCGAGGGUACUUGAAGAAAAAGCAUCGGCUAACUCCGUGCCAGCAGCCGCGGUAAUACGGAGGAUGCGAGCGUUAUCCGGAUUUACUGGGUGUAAAGGGAGCGUAGACGGCAGCGCAAGUCUGAAGUGAAAUGCCGGGGCUUAACCCCGGAACUGCUUUGGAAACUG
rnacentral:rRNA from 1 species